rnacentral:misc_RNA from 1 species
CAGUCAAUGGGCGUUUCAGCCCCGCGCAGCGCGCGAUCUACCGGGUGGUGCUGGCCGCCCAGCGGGCAGCCGUCGCCAAGGUGCAGCCGGGCAACCACUGGAAUGAACCGCACGAUGCGGCCGUGCGCGCAAUCACCCAAGGGCUGGUGCGUAUUGGCCUGCUCAAGGGCCCGGUGGCCGGCCUCAUCAAGGACGAGGCGUACAGGAAAUUUUUCAUGCACCGUACCGGACACUGGCUCGGCAUCGACGUGCACGAUGUGGGUGACUACAAGGUCGGUGACGAGUGGCGCGUGUUUGAACCGGGCAUGGUGCUGACAGUAGAG